CUCACGUGACCAGGAGUCGACGUGUGCAGAAGUCCUGCUAGUCUGGUCCUUGUUCCCGUCUGGGUACCAGCUUCCUUCAGCAGCGCGUACGGUGGGGCCUGAGGCCAGGGGAAAGAGAAGGAGUCAACUUGCUGAAAUUUUGCAGGUCUGCAGGAAAUAAUGACCCUUUGGAAAGGAACUAGGGGUCCCGGGAGAAGGACAAAGAGACCUGUGAUAGUUUAAAAAUCAUCAUCCUCUGCUGCCUCAGACAGCUUUCCCAACGCCUACCCUCCCCCCCAACCCCCGCCUCAGUCUUAGAGAUAGUUUGGAAAUAAUCUGCUUUUCCUACUCCCUGUGUGAUGGGAAAUUCGAGCUGUCUUGCAUUGUGGAGAGGGGGAGAACUGGGGUAAACAAAAGGUCUGUCGUUCAUAGCACUGCACAAAGCUGAAAAAGGUGAGGAAGAAACUGACCACAUCAGUACAGAAGUAAUUGCCUUUAAAGGGGAAUAAGCAGAAAGGAAGGGAGACAGACACAAG